rnacentral:rRNA from 1 species
UACAGAGGGUGCGAGCGUUAAUCGGAAUUACUGGGCGUAAAGGGUCCGUAGGCGGUGUGGCAAGUCGGAAGUGAAAUCUCUGGGCUUAACCCAGAGGCUGCUUCCGAAACUGCUGUGCUAGAGUGUGAGAGAGGCGAGUGGAAUUGCGGGUGUAGCGGUGAAAUGCGUAGAUAUCCGCAGGAACAUCCGAGGCGAAAGCGGCUCGCUGGAUCACAACUGACGCUGAGGGACGAAAGCUAGGGGAGCAAACAGG